UGAGAUUCAGAGAUUCUUUUAGUUCACAUUUCAGUGAUCUCUACUGGCCAGUCUGGGACCCUGACCCCAGGGUUUAUUAGUCUGGUAAAAUGUCUAAGUUCGAUGGCUGGAAAGAUGUUCCCAUGCGUGCUGCCGGGAGCUCUACCUCGUACAUUUUAAAGUUCUCCGAGUCACGACAUCCUCACUGCAUUCAUUCCAUUCAAUUCCUCCGAAUGAAAAGAGAACCCGCGCCGAGAGAAGCCUCGGUCUGACUGCUGAAAAAGCACCUGGGAACAUCUGGAGCUCCAGGAGUCCUACACAUAACCUGAGCAUCUGCUCUGGCUAACUGGAAAGUUCAGGAUUACCUUCAAAAUUCUCCUGCUUGCCUGCAAGGCCCUUCAUCACCCAGGACCAGAGUAUCUCUCCAGCCUGAUGACCUGCUAUGUCCCUGCAAUCAAGCUGACUCUGGCCUGCUAAUUAUAAACAAGCAAAAGCUCGCCACACUUGGAAAGCAUUCUUUUAACUUCAUGGCCCCGACUCUCUGGAACUCUCUCUCAGCUUUAGUGCAUGCAGCUCCCACAAUCGCUCGCUUCAAAUCAACUCAAGACACACUUGUUCUCUCUUGCUUUUAAUGCUGGUUAUUAUCUGUUGUCUAAAUUGCCAUUUCAGGUUUUUCCAUCUUAUUUGUAUUAUUCUGCUUGACACAUACAUCCACAAUGUUUAGAAUUCAUAUUGUGGUCUUUUAUUCAA